rnacentral:rRNA from 1 species
GUAGGUGGCGAGCGUUGUCCGGAAUCACUGGGCGUAAAGGGCGCGUAGGCGGUUAAUUAAGUCAGGUGUGAAAACUCUGGGCUCAACCCAGAGACUGCACCUGAUACUGGAUAACUUGAGUGCAGGAGAGGACAGUGGAAUUCCUAGUGUAGCGGUGAAAUGCGUAGAUAUUAGGAGGAACACCAGUGGCGAAGGCGGCUGUCUGGACUGUAACUGACGCUGAGGCGCGAAAGCGUGGGGAGCGAACAGGAUUAGAUACCCUGGUAGUCCACGCCGUAAACGAUGGGUACUAGGUGUAGGAGGUAUCGACCCCUUCUGUGNNNNNNNAACACAAUAAGUACCCCGCCUGGGGAGUACGGCCGCAA